UACGUAGGGCGCAAGCGUUAUCCGGAAUUAUUGGGCGUAAAGAGCUCGUAGGCGGUUUGUCGCGUCUGCCGUGAAAUCCCCCGGCUCAACCGAGGAAUUGCGCUUCAAACCGGCGUGCUUGAGGAAGAUAGAGGUGGGCGGAACUGAUGGUGGAGCGGUGAAAUGCGUUGAUAUCAUCAGGAACACCGGAGGCGAAAGCGGCCCACUGGGUCUUUUCUGACGCUGAGGGACGAAAGCUAGGGGAGCGAACGGG
rnacentral:rRNA from 1 species